rnacentral:rRNA from 1 species
GACGAAAAAUGAAUACCAAGUCUCAAGAGUGAACACGUAAUUCAUUACGAAGUUUAAUUCAUUGAGCAUCAAACUUUUAAAUUGAAGAGUUUGAUCAUGGCUCAGAUUGAACGCUGGCGGCAGGCCUAACACAUGCAAGUCGAACGGUAACAGGAAGCAGCUUGCUGCUUUGCUGACGAGUGGCGGNNNNNNNNNNNNNNNNNNNNUAACUACUGGAAACGGUGGCUAAUACCGCAUAACGUCGCAAGACCAAAGAGGGGGACCUUCGGGCCUCUUGCCAUCAGAUGUGCCCAGAUGGGAUUAGCUUGUUGGUGAGGUAACGGCUCACCAAGGCGACGAUCCCUAGCUGGUCUGAGAGGAUGACCAGCCACACUGGAACUGAGACACGGUCCAGACUCCUACGGGAGGCAGCAGUGGGGAAUAUUGCACAAUGGGCGCAAGCCUGAUGCAGCCAUGCCGCGUGUAUGAAGAAGGCCUUCGGGUUGUAAAGUACUUUCAGCGGGGAGGAAGGUGUUGUGGUUAAUAACCGCAGCAAUUGACGUUACCCGCAGAAGAAGCACCGGCUAACUCCGUGCCAGCAGCCGCGGUAAUACGGAGGGUGCAAGCGUUAAUCGGAAUUACUGGGCGUAAAGCGCACGCAGGCGGUCUGUCAAGUCGGAUGUGAAAUCCCCGGGCUCAACCUGGGAGGUGUAGCGGUGAAAUGCGUAGAGAUCUGGAGGAAUACCGGUGGCGAAGGCGGCCCCCUGGACAAAGACUGACGCUCAGGUGCGAAAGCGUGGGGAGCAAACAGGAUUAGAUACCCUGGUAGUCCACGCCGUAAACGAUGUCUACUUGGAGGUUGUGCCCUUGAGGCGUGGCUUCCGGAGCUAACGCGUUAAGUAGACCGCCUGGGGAGUACGGCCGCAAGGUUAAAACUCAAAUGAAUUGACGGGGGCCCGCACAAGCGGUGGAGCAUGUGGUUUAAUUCGAUGCAACGCGAAGAACCUUACCUGGUCUUGACAUCCACGGAAGUUUUCAGAGAUGAGAAUGUGCCUUCGGGAACCGUGAGACAGGUGCUGCAUGGCUGUCGUCAGCUCGUGUUGUGAAAUGUUGGGUUAAGUCCCGCAACGAGCGCAACCCUUAUCCUUUGUUGCCAGCGGUCCGGCCGGGAACUCAAAGGAGACUGCCAGUGAUAAACUGGAGGAAGGUGGGGAUGACGUCAAGUCAUCAUGGCCCUUACGACCAGGGCUACACACGUGCUACAAUGGCGCAUACAAAGAGAAGCGACCUCGCGAGAGCAAGCGGACCUCAUAAAGUGCGUCGUAGUCCGGAUUGGAGUCUGCAACUCGACUCCAUGAAGUCGGAAUCGCUAGUAAUCGUGGAUCAGAAUGCCACGGUGAAUACGUUCCCGGGCCUUGUACACACCGCCCGUCACACCAUGGGAGUGGGUUGCAAAAGAAGUAGGUAGCUUAACCUUCGGGAGGGCGCUUACCACUUUGUGAUUCAUGACUGGGGUGAAGUCGUAACAAGGUAACCGUAGGGGAACCUGCGGUUGGAUCACCUCCUUACCUUAAAGAAGCGUACUUUGCAGUGCUCACACAGAUUGUCUGAUGAAAA